UCUUCUGUUGCAGGCUAUCAAUGCGAUGACAUAGUCGAAAUGACAAAAAAUGGCUACUGACACCGUCCCGCACGAAGUUCCUGCUGGCGGGGAGGACGUGGAUGCCAGCGGUGAUCGCGAGCCCCCCGCUGCUCCGAUGGUCCCUGCGGGUACUGUCGAGAGUCAGAAAGUGCUGCCACUUGCCCCGUCAAGCGUGUCAGCCCCCACCAUCCAGCCAAUGCGCUUGGUGGGGAAUCCCUCUCUGAUCCUGUGACGAUCCAGCAGGUGAGUACUCUGCUUGUUUAUCGAGUACUGAUUUUGUAUAGAGCAGUUGUUUUCUGUCACUUAUGUUGUAUCCUAUACAAGACAUCUUCAAAUUUUGACCUUGGGGCGUCGAGCUCUAGAUCAGCAGCUGAUGGUGCAAGCUGCUCAACUGAAGACCCAGGCCCCGCUCCUGCCAUAAUUCUGAGGGAGGAAAACCCAACACUAGCGCCAAAGGCUGGCGCUACGUCUUUCAUGGUUGCGCUAAUGCGCGAUGUGAUUAGCUCCCUCAAGGACGUUAUGCUGCCAUCCCCCGAGACUACCAUGCUUGGAUUGCUUCCCGAAGCUGCUCCUGUGGAAGAUCCGCCCGUAUCAGACGUCCUGGACACGGUCCCUCUCGGUGCUACGGACUCUGGAGCUUCUGAGCUCGAGGCUGCUUGUGCUCUUGAGGCCGCUGCUGGGGCGUCAUCUGAAGCAUGGACAUUGUCGUGUCACAAACUAGUCCUGGUGCCUAGCGCAAGAGAUGAAUUAGCUGUGGAGGAUUCAAUGCAGCCAAAGAAAAUCCAGGCUUUUGAGAGCCCCCUUCUUGAUCCAGACUAUGGCCUCCAUUUUGGAGAUGAAUCAACGUGUUGCUCUGUAUACUAAGGACUUGAUUGAGGAUUCUCGCCGUAAUACUCGACUUCUGUGGGAGCAUGGUGAGGCUGCGCGCUGGGUUGAAGUGCUAGAGAAACAGCUGGCUGAAGAGCAACAUCAGACCUCCUAGCUCCUGAUGAAAUUUGAUAGUGCAUCACAUCGUUCCAGGCGAGAGGCAGGUGCUUCAGGGUGAAAAAGCCCGCCUUGUUGCCCGGUAUAAGUCUUUGCACCACAAGGUUGAAGAGUAUAAGAGCUAGGAGAUUGUACUGAAGAACUUUGUCGGCUGACAGAGGAGCACGAGAAGCUCAUACGCCAAGUGGAGAAGAUGGAAAACGAUCUGGAGAAGGAAUCCAAGAUGCGUCGGGAUGGUGAGGUUAGCCUCGUCGAGGCUAUGACUACUAUCCAGGCGCAACAAGAAGAACUCUAGCAGUGGUCAAAGGUGGCGCAGCCCUUGGCGGAUAUGGUGGAACCCCCUGCUGAAGGUGUGGAGCCUCACCCAUUGCUAGAAAGGAUCCAGGAUGCGCCGUCGAAGAUCACCGGCUAUGUCCAAGCUAUGGCGAAGUCUAUGUCCAAACAACUGUUAAGCUUCGUUAAGACUUUUUAUCCUAAGGCUGGCUUAUCUCCCGUUGCGGAGGGGAUUGCCGGGACUGUAUUGAUGCAGUUUUUUAGCAGUAUAGGGAAGAGAUGGAUCCCAUCACUGAGGAAGUAGCCAAGUUCUUGAAUCUCCAGUAGUUUAAGCUUCCCCUGGAUGUAAUAGGCAUUAACCUUGUGGCUUGUACAGAUAACUUAAAGUCUGAAGAUGAUCUUCUGUGCUUUUAACUUGUGAGUCUGCGGUACUCUUAGUGCUUAUCAAUCAUUGUCAUGAUUGUCUUCACUUAAAUGUCCGCGCCCAGACUUACUAUUGUGAGGUGCCUCUGAAUUCAAUUAUUGAAUAGCUUUGAG